UAGGGAAUAUUGGUUAAUGUGCGAAAGCGCGAACCAGCAACGCCGCGUGUCCGAUGAAGGCCUUCGGGUCGUAAAGCACUUUUUGCAGGGAAGAGGAAGGACGGUACCUGCAGAAUAAGUCUCGGCUAACUACGUGCCAGCAGCCGCGGUAAAACGUAGGAGACGAGCGGUAUCCGGAUUUACUGGGCGUAAAGCGCGUGCAUGCGGCAUGGCAAGUUGGAUGUGAAAGCUCCCGGCUUAACUGGGAGAGGUCGUUCAAUACUGCCAGGCUUGAGAGUGGUAGAGGGAAGCGGAAUUCCGGGUGUAGUGGUGAAAUGCGUAGAUAUCCGGAGGAACACCAGUGGCGAAAGCGGCUUCCUGGCCCAUUUCUGACGCUCAGACGCGAAAGCUAGGGUAGCAAACGG
rnacentral:rRNA from 1 species